rfam:Brachypodium distachyon strain Bd21 chromosome 4, whole genome shotgun sequence.
CUUAUACUCCCUCCGUCCCAUAUUAAGUGUCUCAAAUUUGUCUAAAGAUGGAUCUAUACCUAAAAAGCGUCUAGAUACAUGUAAUAUUUUGACACUUAAUAUGGGACAGAGGGAGUAGUAU